UGUUCUCCCUGCUAGGCAGCCUAAUGGAGUCUUUGCUUAACAGAUGGAAAAAGAACAUUAUUACUUGAAUUGGAGAGGAAAUGAUGAAUUAGAAGCAGAAAAAAUGGAUGAUAUGAAGUCCUAUCUUACCAUUUCGCAGAUGAAGAAACUAAGGCCAAGAAAUUUCAUAAAAGUUCAAGGCAGUGGAACGAACCUCUUCAAUCUUAUGAGUUUCUAAAUGUCAGGAGGGUGUUUGGGAAACUUAAUUUCAGAAUCAGCACUCCAAAGUCAGUGAAGCAUUAUUAUCGAGAAGAAACAACCUUUAAUACCUCAAGCCAAUGGAAGCUGAGAUAAAGAGUCAUCUAGAUAUCAAAUUGCAUUUGGACAUGAAUUUGGUAAGACCAAUGCUAUGAAGACCUUAGGAACGUUUUGAGUCUUUUUCCCAUAAAAAAGGAGGUUGUACAGUGUAGUGUGUGCACUAAAGAUUUUGGAGUGUGCAUGUAUGUUGGGGGAUUUGUUAUUUGUACAUUUAUUCUUGUCAUAUCUUUGAAGCGAAUUACUUCUUUGUAAAGACUAUUAAAAGGGAAAUGGUUGAAUAGAACUCAUAGUGUGGGAACUGAAGUGUUCAGGGAGUCUUUUUUCCCCCUUUUUUAGAUGAAAACAGGUUAACAGGGUCUCCUGUAAAGGGGAGAUGGUCCCCCAAGAAAGGAAAUUACUUUUUCUGGAAUAUAAGAACUCCAAAAAUUGUUGAAAGAGAAAUAUUUUUGUUAUUGUUCAAUUAUGUUUCAGUUAUGUAUGACUCUUCAUAACCCCAUUUGUGAAUUUCUUGGCAAAGAUAUUAGAGUGGUUUACCACUUCCUUCUCCAGUUCUCUUUCCAGAUCAGGAACUCAGGCAAACAGGAAAAGGAACCUACCCAGGGUCACAAAUUUAAUAAAUGUCAGAGAGCAGAUUAGAACUCAUGAACAUGAGUUUUCCUGACUCCAAACCCAGAACUCUAUCCACCAUGCCACCUAGAUGUCCCAAACAAUUUUAAAUUAGUUGAAAUUGUCCUAUAAUGGGGAACAGCCACCUGAAUGUAGGACUAAUCUCUGCUAAGAAAGUAAAUAAGAGGCAUGAGCUCCCAGGAAAAACAAUAUCAGUGCAAUAGCUGGUGUAGGUAUGGAAUGGAAUAAUGUUACAGUGGGGUAAUGCCAAAUGUCCCAUGCUGGAAACUACUCAGCAUAAAUCUUUAGGUAACUGAGACUCUAUAAGUCUCAAGAGUGAAGUUUGUAUUUGAAUUCUGAUAUGUACUACAGUUUCCUCAUCUUUAAAGUGCAUAUAAUAAUAACAUUUAACCCUAAAGGUUGUUUUGAGGAUAAAAGUAGGUGGUACUUGUAAAAUUCUUUGCAAAACUUAAAUAUAUAUAUAUAUAUGUAUAUGGAAAAAAUAUAUAUAUGAGAGCUAUUAUAAUUGGCUAGUAUUAUUGCAAAUGAAACUUUAAGGUGAGAUUUGGGAGUAAUCUUUAUAUUCAUCGAAUGAUCAUAAUUAUGGAAAAAAUUAAAUCAAUAAGUGAGUAAAAGUUUAGAAGAAAAAAAUGAGGAGAAUAAACAGUAGGAGAAAGUAUUAGGAGAAAGAAAGAAGAUGGUAAAUCAUCAAGAGAUCAAAAAAGAGCAACCAGAAAGCUGGUUGAUCAACCAUCAUUAAUUAAGGUUUUAGUAUGUAUGAAGAACUGUGCUAAACUCUGGGAUUCAAAGAUAGGCAAAGAAUAGUCCCUGCUAUGAAAUACUUAACUAGGAAGAGAACCAGGAAAGAGCAGCAUCAAAGAAUCCAAAAAAGAGAUAAUAUCAUAAUAAACAUGCUAAGAAAUUAGAGCUAGGACACUGGAUUUGGAAUGAGGACACCUAAACCCUUAAGGAAGGAGAGCUCUGACACCUUUGUUACCUAGCUCGGCCCAAGAAGAGUUCAUAUGAACUCUGCCACCUCUCUGACCUUAAACAAGCUGUCUUCUCUCUCCAGACCUUGUCAGUUCCUUCUUGAGGUAAGAAAUAGCCUCAUUUUGGUCUUUAUUUCUCCAAUGACUAGGCCAGUGCCAUGCUCAGGUUAAACACAUAAGAAAUGCCUGUUGAUGGUUUGAUUGAUUGAUAAAAUAGAGAAGUUAGACAAGAUAACCUCAGGAUGAAAAUGGAUUUAGUCAGGAACUUUUGUGUUAAAAGAUCCCUGACAGCUGAGAAUCAUAUAAUCCUAUGAACUACUCAUUUCAGUUUCUAAAUAUUUAAAAAUUGACUCUUUUGUUCUUUCCAAGACACUCUGGAUCCUCCUUCCUUUUUCAUUCUGGCAUUCAGACUCUGGAUCUGAGGCCUUGUUAUUGGUAAGAGUACACUCUAUCUUGGCUUUCCCAGACCCAAAACAAUAACUAUUGUCUUUUCACCAUUGUGUCACUAUAUUUUGAAAGGAUAUGUCAAAAUUAAACUCUCUUUGAUUCUACUCACUAUGUUUGUGAUUUCCUAAGCUAUCUCCUGUUGAUCAAUACUUCAUGUCUCUCCUGAGUGUAAAAAUGGACUUGAAUCCAGGACUUCAAUACCCAGAAUUCCUUGCUCCACUUCCCCAGAAGGCUUUAUAAUAUCACUGAAUUCUCACCUGGGCUGAGAUUGAGAAGGGGUAUUUAACCUGAUUGGAAAGGCUCUUGGCUCUUUCCUGUUUUCCCUUGCAAGCAGACGCGGUUCUUUUGAUAAUGUAGUUGAGACACAUGUUUUCUUAUUCUGUAUUUUCUUUAAUCCUCAACCUUUAAUAAACCUCUAAAAAUAUAAUACUCCUUGCAGAGAGAAACUAAUUUCAACCUGCCUCAGCUUCCCUAAAUUUUAAUCUUUACAGUUUUGGCAACCACUUUGGAAAAGUGAAAUAUCUCAAUCUUCUGAUUCUUUUCUCUACUAAACUUUAAUAGCUAGUGCCUAGAAAAAAAAAAAAUUUAAGCCACGUUUCUCCAAGCUGCUUUUUUUAGAAAACCAUCUUGAUCAGCUCCUGCUGGCAGCCAUCUGCUUCAGACUUCUUGAGCCCUUCCCUCCCACCGGCUCGUCCACUUCUCCCUGCCUGCGUGCGUUCCUGCCUACAGACCCCGAUCCUGGCCUCUCUUCAUCCUCACCCGGUGCUCCAGCUCCCGGCCCUGCUUGACUGCGUUCCUGUCAUUUCUGGCCUACCCCUGUGCUCUCUCUUGCUCAACCUGUCCUUGUUCAACCCAGAUCCUUGGAGCAGAUUGCUCAGGACUCAUUUCUACCAGCUGGUAACAAAUGGGGAUAUUGGCUCCACGUGGGCAGAUCAGAGUGUAGGAGAGGAGAGAGAAAAGGGAGAGGAGAAGAAACAGACUUUUUCAAACAGGGACUUAAAAGCAAUGGGCUAUUUAAAAGGAUACUUUUUGACUGUUCUGGUAAUUUCAUUGAUUUCACCUGCAUGCCAGAAGAAAGAUUCAGUCCAAAGAUUCAACUUUGAAGGGGCAAAUGGGUGGCUCAGUGAACUGAGAACCAGGCCUAAAGACAUGCAGUUCUGGGUUAAAAUCUGGCCUCAGAUAUUUCCCAGCUGUGGGGCCUUGAUCGGUCCCUAAACCCCCAUUGCCUAGCCCUUACCACUCUGCCUUCAAACAAUAGGCAUCUAAAUGGAUAAUUAAAAACAAAAACAAAAACAAAAAACCCCAAAAGAACUUUAAAGAGACUAAAGACUAUAUUUUAAGAUUUAUAAAAUGGUUCAUAAAAAAAAUCUCUGUAUUCUAUUGCAUUUUACUGUUUGCUUUGUUUAAGAUAUAACUUUGUGAUUUUAAGUUCAUAUAUUACUGGAUUCAAUAUUAUUCUGUUAUACUGUUCAUUUAAUGUACUGAGUUUUAAAAUUCUGUUGCUUUUCCCUAUAAACAGCCCUUCUAUUUUGACUUUGUAAAUUGUCACAUAGAGUACAGAUGGACUUCAGAACUGGUCACAAUUGCUAUAACAACCUUUGGAAAAUUUAAUGUGCUAAAUAUCUCAACUGAUUUAAGGGUUUUUUAAAUAUGAUUUUUGUUAUUUUUUUUAACAAUCUCUGGUCAUUUUUGCCUGCCCCUAACACAAGGUGUAAGGCCAAUUCUAGCUGAAGUGAAAUACAUUUUAUAACCCCCAAUCUUCCCGCAUUUCUAAAUAUGUGAAUGGAUCUUGGGGCAUUUGUACCCCUAAAAAAGCCUCCAAAAAAGGAGCACCUCUCAUUUAUACUCUUCAGCUCAUUGCUUUACUUCCACCAGAAUGAUAUUUCUUGAUGAUGUCCUAAACCUGAAAUGAGUUUUACUUUGUUUAAAAAUAUGUUUAAAUACCAAGGUUGAAAGAAUUGCUACAUUUGUAAAAACUUGUGACAAAUAUCCAUCAAUUAAUAUGCUUUUUAAAAUGCCAUACAGCAACUUAUGUGAAAUAUGAUAGUGUAUUUGUUUGCUAUUGUAAUUAAUUGGGCUAUUGAGAAUUUUGGGGAUAUUGAUAUCUACAUAUUUGUACUACUGUUCCUUAAAAGUGAAAAGUGUUACCUUGCUCAAUUCAUUUGCCUUAUACUCACAAUGGAGCAUGUCCAGACAUGGAGAGGAAAUGGAUCUCAUUUUUGGUGAGAAAGCCUUGUAUUCUAUAUUUUCUUAGCUGACAUAGAGUGUCAAUGAUUAUAAGCUAUAUUUUUGAAUUUUAAAAGACUUAUUAUUAUAUUUUUCUUGCAUGUGCAAUAUACUUUUUCAGGUUUUUUAUAUAUUUUCUCUCCUUUUUUAUAUUUGAAGCACGUCACCAGCAUUAAGAUUUUCUUUAACUUUUUGACUUUGCAGUAAUAUAAGUUUAAGAUACAUUUGCUAAUUCAUGCACCCAAAAGCUUGAGACUAUAAAAAUGAUGCCACUAAUUGUUUAAAAUAAGUUAUGGGACUUUACUUAAUGAUUCUGUCUGAUUCCAGGACAAGAUAUACACAAAAGAGCCACUGCAUAGUGCCAAUUGAGCACAAGGUCAAAGAGACCAACCAAUCCUGGUGGGAUUGAUGUAAUUUUAAGCCUAGACAAAGAGGACUUGAACAUGUUUGGGUUUCGAGGUUGCAGCUGUUUAACAUGUGUUAAAGGCAGGUCUUCCCUGUUACAUAUUCUACGAAUUAUCUCAACCUUGGCUCCUAUAAUCUGGUCCCUUUUCUGUCUUUCAUAGUGUGGUACCUUUCUGUAGUCCUGGCUACUGACUGGGUAAAUGCAUCAUUGCUUAUAUCAUUUUAAUUGGGCCCUGAUUCAAGGACCUGUUAUAGGUUUAUUUUUCUUUUUACUUGGAAUUUUACACAUAAGACUUUGAGAGUCUAUAUUUUCAUCCAGAAAUUUUUCUUUUUUAUUUGGAUUUUUCUGAUAUCUUUUUAAUUUCUCUUAUCAAUUGAUUCAUAUAUCUCAUACCUUGGCCAUGCAUCCCUAAAUGAUCCUGUGUUUUUCGAUCACCCUCUUAAUGGGGGAAUGUAAAAAAUAUUAUUAUUUUAAAUUGCAAAGUUUAAAUUCCUUUUUAGAAGAAUUUUAGGUAAAGAAAGAUGAUACCUCUCUGAAUUCAUAAACUGAACUGUUGGAGAAGACACCAUGAAGAAGCCUCCAGAUCACAAGCUACACAAAAAUGAACUUUGGGGGUGGUUGAUUGACCAUUUAUUUGUAUGUAUACUUUCAUGCCAAAGGGGACUGUCACCUAAUUGAUUUUUUGUCAAUGCAUCCAGCAGUUAUUGGUUUUGUUCUUUAUUUUUCUCUUAUCUGCAAAUUAUUGUAAUCUUUAAAUUGAUUAUGUUUCUAUGAUCCUUUUUGGGGAAACCUUUCCCAAUAAGAAUAAAACGAGGGAAUAUAAAAAUGGCCUUGAAUCCAGGACUUCAAUCCCCAGAAUUCCUUGCUCCACUUCCCCAGAAGGCUUUGUAAUAUCACUGAAUUCUCACCUGGGCCGAGAUCGAGAAGGGGUAUUUAACCUGAUUGGAAAGGUUCUUGGCUCUUUCCUGUUUCCUCUUGCAAGCAGACGUGACUCUUUUGAUAAUAUAAGUGAGACACGUGUUUUCUCAUUCUGUAUUUUCUUUAAUCCUCAACCUUUAAUAAACCUCUAAAAUAUAAUACUCCUUGCAGAGAGAAACUAAUUUCUACCUGCCUCAGCUUCCCUAAAUUUUAAUCUUUACAUGAGUCAAUUGAAAGCUCCUUUAACACAGAGAGUGUAUCACUUUGAUCACUAUUUUCAGAAAUUUGGACAAUGCCUAUUACAUUAUAAACACUU